rnacentral:rRNA from 1 species
GCAAGUCGAGGGGUAACAUAGAGAAGCUUGCUUUUCUGAUGACGACCGGCGCACGGGUGCGUAACGCGUAUGCAACCUACCCUAUACUGAGGGAUAGCCCGAAGAAAUUCGGAUUAAUACCUCAUAGUAAUUAUUAACCGCAUGGUUUUAUAAUUUAAAGAUUGCGGUAUAGGAUGGGCAUGCGUCCCAUUAGCUAGAUGGUAAGGUAACGGCUUACCAUGGCAACGAUGGGUAGGGGGCGUGAGAGCGUGGUC